UGGACUACCAUGGCAGUCACGGGUAAUGGAGAAUUAGGGUUCGAUUCCGGAGAGGGAGCCUGAGAAAUGGCUACCACAUCUAAGGAAGGCAGCAGGCGCGUAAAUUACCCAAUCCUGAUUCAGGGAGGUAGUGACAAGAAAUAACAACCUGGGGAUCUCAUGAUCUUACGGGAUUGCAAUGAGAACAAUUUAAAUCUCUUAAUGAGUAACAAUUGGAGGGUAAGUCUGGUGCCAGCAGCCGCGGUAAUUCCAGCUCCAAUAGCGUAUAUUAAAGUUGUUGCAGUUAAAAAGCUCGUAGUUGAACUUCUGGCGGCGUGCCGGUUAGGCUUUUGUCUGCCGGUCUAGCGUCGUCAUCCGUCUGCAAACCUCGUUUGUUUUUUAUUGGUUUGGCGAGUUGAGUAGACAAUUUACUUUGAAAAAAUUAGAGUGUUUUAAGUAGGCAUUAGCCCGAAUACUUUAGCAUGGAAUAAUGGAAUAGGACUCUGUCCAUAUCAAUUGGCUGUGGGCAUGAGUAAUGAUUAAUAGGGACAGUUGGGGGCAUUAGUAUUUAAUUGUCAGAGGUGAAAUUUUUG
rnacentral:rRNA from 1 species